UGCUGCAUAGCUGGUAACAAGUCAUGGAACAUUUUUAUCCUCAACUGAAACUGACAAUCAAAGGAACUAUAGUCAAAUUAAUAAAGAAACAAAUGGUAUACAUGAACAUGACAAACACCUUGAUUCAAAUUCAAAACAAGGUUGCAUAAAAAUUUCUUGGGCAAAAAGGAGUCAUGAGUGAUAAAAGUUGAAGAAGUCCCGUAAGGGUUUCCAACAUAUGGCAACAGGUCUAAUAUCAGUGUAUCAGAAGAUGGAGAUAAACUAGAGAACAGUAGGAUGAAGAGAUGUUGCAAUCUAUUCUAGUUAGAUACCAUAGUAAGAAUACAGACCAAGAAAGACGUUUUAUAUGUACUCUGCAUUUUUCAUGUCGAUUACAAUAAAAGAUAGAAUAGUAUCACAGUG